CAAACAUCCGCAGCCCCUGGACAGCAAGUCCUUCUCUCUUACAGGGCCAAGGAAUUUUGGCUCCUCGGGGAAUUUGUGACAGCCCACCCUCCUUGAGUUGUUUUUCUUCCCUUGAAGACUGAGGAGAAAGAACCCGUGUAUCCCGAAGGCAUGCGUGUUUGAUUAUUUUGAAAAAGAAGACACAGAUAACCAAGAAGAAAAAUGAAACACCUAUGCAGCCCAGAGCUCAGCUUCUGAGAGCCAUUAUCCACUGAAGGCAACCAGGCCCCUUGGAGAAAUGGCUGAUAAGUCUGGAAUGUCGAGCUAUGCCAAAGAAAUGUGAGAAGCAGAGAGGAAAAUGAUUAUGAAGCAUUUCAAAACGGCACAGAAGCCAGCUUGACAGGAACCCCAGGGCCAAACCUAGACCAGCUUCGAGCAUGGAGAUAUAUUUAGAUGACAAUGAGUUAUGGCCUGUUGUGUUAAAAUAACAUUCUGGAGUCUGUUUUAGAAAUAAACCAAGCUGCGUGGGGAUUUUUCUUAUAACUAAUAAACAUAGAAGCAA